UGAGAUCAUUGUGAAAGCUGAUUAU
rnacentral:miRNA from 1 species